GACGAACGCUGGCGGCGUGCUUAACACAUGCACUUCGAACUAAGUGGCGAACGGGUGAGUAAUACGAGGGCAACCUGCCCUCCUUUUUGGGAUAAGCCUUGGAACCGGGGUCUAAUACCGAAUAAAGGGGGAUGGGCUCGCGGCCUAUCAGCUUGUUGGUGGGGUGAUGGCCUACCCAGGCGGUGACGGGUAGCCGGCCUGAGAGGGUGACCGGCCACAUUGGGAAUGAGAUACGGCGCAGACACGUACGGGAGGCAGCAGUGGGGGAUAGUGCGCAAAUGGCGGGAGCCGGAUGCAGCGUAUACGAGUGAGGGAUGAUGGCUUUGGGGUUGUAAACCUCUGUCACUAUGGAAGGGGUAGGUGGAGAAAAAGCGCCGGCUAACUACGUGACAGCAGCCGCGGUAAUAC
rnacentral:rRNA from 1 species